UCCGCCGCACGGAGGAAGAUGGAGCCCCGCGCCGCCCCCCCGCCGCCGCCCCCGCCUCCGGCCCGCCCGGCCCCGCCGCCGCCACCGCCCGCCCAGGGACGGGCUGGGCUGAGCUGGGCUGGGGCACCCCGGCCCGAGGGGCUCCCCGGGGCCCGCAGCCCCCCGAAAGCGCCGCAGCCCCAGGAGAGCUCCGCGGAGCUGCGCAGCCCCGGGAGGGGUCCCCGGUGUCCGCAGCCCCGCAAGCCCGCUUGGCUCCCCAGAGCUCGUCCGCUCCCCAGACCCCCUCAGCUCCCCGCAGCCCCGGCAGGGCUCCCCAGAGCUCCGCAGCCCCUGAUUCCCUCAGGCCCGGGAGGGCGCCUCAGUGUCCACAGCCCCCCGAGCCGCCUCAGCCCUAUCGGGGCUCCCCGGUUCCCUCAGCCCCCGAGCCGCCUCAGCCCUAUCGGGGCUCCCCGGUUCCCUCAGCCCCCCGAGCCGCCUCAGCCCUAUCGGGGCUCCCCGGUUCCCUCAGCCCCCCGAGCCGCCUCAGCCCUAUCGGGGUUCCAUGUUUCCCUCAGCCCCCUGAGCCGCCCCAGCCUUAUCGGGGCUCCCCGGUUCCCUCAGCCUCCCAAACCUCCUCAGCCCGCCAGUCCCCUCAGCCCCGGCAGGGCUCCCCAGAGCUCCGCAGCCCCUGAUUCCCUCAGGCCCGGGAGGGCGCCUCAGUGUCCCCCAAACCGCCUCAGCCCUAUCGGGGCUCCCCGGUUCCCUCAGCCCCCCAAAACCACCUCAGCCCGCCAGUCCCCUCAGCCCCGGCAGGGCUCCCCAGAGCUCCGCAGGCCCCCGAGCCCCCUCAGCCCUGUCAGGGCUCCCUGGUUCCCUCAGGCCCCCGAAUCUCCUCAGCGCUCUGGUUCCCUCAGCUGCCUCAGGUCUCCUCACCCCCCAGAUCCCCUCGGUUCUCAGUCCGCCCCACUCCCGCAGCAUCACCAGCCCACCCAAAUUUCUGCAACCCUCAAAUCUCCUCAGCCCACUCAAAUCUCAGCCCACUUCGUUCACCUCAGUACCCCCAGCAUCUCCACAGACACCCGUUUUCCCUCAGCCCACCCAAAGUUCCUCAAUGCCCUGGAUCUCCUCAGUUCUCCUCUGACCCUGCCAAGUCUCAGAUCCCUCAAAUCUCAACUGCAUGCUUCCCUCACUGCCUCCAGGACUUCCCAGUGUCCUCACCUCCCCAAAUAUCCUCAGAAUCCCCCAAAAUCUCCUCAGCCCCCAAAUCCUCUUAGCCCACCCAAAGAUCCUCAAAUGCCCAGAUCCCCCUAGACCUUCAGUUUCACUCAGACCCCCCAAAUCUCAGACAUCCCCAGAUCUCCUCAGACCCCCAGUUGCACUCAGAUCCCCCCAAAUCUCCUCAGAUCCGCCAGAUCCCUUCAGUUCCUUCCAUUCUCCUCAGCCUCCUCCAGUUCCCCCAAAUCUCCUCACGCCCCCAGUUUCCUCAGCACCUCCAGGAUUCCUCAAUAUCGCCACCUCCCCAUAUCUCCUCAGACCACCCCAAAAUUUCCUCAGGCCCCACAAAUCUCCUCAGUCUCCUCAAAAUCUCCUCAGACCCCUCAAAAUCUCCUCAGACCCCCAGUUCCCCCAACUUCCUCCAGGUCUCCUCCUCUCCCCUAAAACUCUUCCACCCGAUUCCCCUCAGCCCCUCCAAAAGCUCCUCAUGCUCCCAAUUCCUCCCAGCCCCACCAAGCUGUCACCCCUCCAUUUCUCCUCAGCCCAUGCAAAGCUCCUCAGCACUCUUGAUUCUCUUCAGCCCCCUUGGUUUUCCUCAGCCCCCCUCAGUUCUCCUCAAUCCCCCUGAACUCCCUUAGCCCCCCAAAUCUCCUCAGCCCCCACCAGGUCCUAGCCUUUCCCAGUUCCCCUAACACCCACCCCCUAGUUCCUCUAUCCCCCCCAGUUCCCCCCUGGUGCCCCUCAGCCCCUCUCCCUGAGGAUUUCCCCCAUUUCCCAGGGGGUCUCCAGCUCCUCUGUGGGUCACUUGCAGCCCCCCAAAUCCACAGACACUGCAUACAGGGGAAGGAAGAGCAGGGCAAAUCCCGUCCAUUCCUCUUCUCCUAGGUCCAGGGGAUUUACCCUGGAGCUUCUGAGUUUUCACUUUAAAAAUAACUUAAAAAAAAAAAAAAAAAAAAAAAAAAAACAACAACAAAAAAAAAAAAUUAAGGCUCUUUUUCAUGUUUUCCCAAAAUGUUCUGUCGCAGAGGAGGACGGAGAGGAGAGGGGUGUCCUGAAAGGAAAUGGUGCCUCCGAGAGAGGAGGAGUGGAGUUAUCCAAUCCCAAGGCUGCAUUGGGAGGAGACGGUGUGGGUCACUGCUGAGUUUGUGGGAUCCACCAAGGAUUGGAUAGAUCCAACCGCGAUUAAAAGGAACGGAAGGCGGGAGUGGAAGGAAAUCAUGCUGGAAUCACCACCACAGGGUUUUGGCAAAGCCACGGGGCUGUUAGACCUGCGCAGAGCAGCGUCCCCUUCCCAUCCCACCAGCGCCAGAUCCGCCCGGGACCUGCAGCUGACUCAGCAGAGGAAAGGAGAUUUUUAUGGGUGGCAAACUGGGAUUUUCUGGUGAGAAAUGUGGUCCCUGAGUGGUGACACUGGGAUCCCCUUGGACUUUUCCAGUGUUCCCAAAGCCUGUGCCCCGGAUCAUGGCACACCGGAAAGGGAAUUCUUUGGGAAACACCUUCAUCCCACCCACCUACUUGUUUCCUUUCCCAAAAAUCCCUUGUUUUACAUAAAAACAUGGUUGAAAGCACCUACCAGAGUGGGCUCCCCUGGGAUGGGUGGGCUCACCAAGCAUUGGGGAUGCC